AAACAUAUGUACAGGGGGCAUUUACAAUAUGGGGGGGGUAUGGGGGGAUUUAGGGUGGGGGGGUCUGUACAAUGGGGGGGUGCAUUGUACAGCAUGUACAGCCCCACAAUGGCCCGUGUUUCUACAAGAAACAGCCAAAAAUGGGGGCGGGGGGGGGCAACAGGGAGGUGUCAUGGCUGCCAUUGAGGUGUCAUGGCCGACAGUGGGGUGUCAUGGCCACCAUUGAGGUGUCAUGGUCACCAAUGGGGUGUCAUGGCCGCCAUUGAAGUGUCAUGGCUGCCAUUGAGGUGUCAUGGCCGCCAUUGGGGUGUCAUGGCCACCAUUGAGGUGUCAUGGCCGCCAAUGGGGUGUCAUGGCCGACAGUGGGGUGUCAUGGCUGACAAGGUGUCAUGGCCGACAAGGUGUCAUGGCCGCCAUUGAGGUGUCAUGGCCGCCAAUGGGGUGUCAUGGCCGCCAAGGUGUCAUGGCCGACAAGGUGUCAUGGCCGCCAUGAUGAUGUCCGCCAUGAUGUCCGCCAUGUUGUCCGCCAUGUUGUCCGCCAUGUUGUCCGCCCCGUUGUCUGCCAUGACACCCCGUUGUCGGCCACGUUGCCGUCAGUUGAGGGUCCCGCGGCAGCUGUCGGUGCGGCAGAGGCAGGGGAUCUUGGUGUCCUCGAUGGGGAACUUGUAGUCGUAGGUGAUCUCCUCGUUGACCCCGAUGGGCUGCUUCGAGUAGAU
rnacentral:lncRNA from 1 species